rnacentral:rRNA from 1 species
AGUGAACGCUGGCGGUAGGCCUAACACAUGCAAGUCGAACGGCAGCACAGUAAGAGCUUGCUCUUACGGGUGGCGAGUGGCGGACGGGUGAGGAAUACAUCGGAAUCUACUUUUUCGUGGGGGGUAACGUAGGGAAACUUACGCUAAUACCGCAUACGACCUACGGGUGAAAGCAGGGGAUCUUCGGACCUUGCGCGAUUGAAUGAGCCGAUGUCGGAUUAGCUAGUUGGCGGGGUAAAGGCCCACCAAGGCGACGAUCCGUAGCUGGUCUGAGAGGAUGAUCAGCCACACUGGAACUGAGACACGGUCCAGACUCCCACGGGAGGCAGCAGUGGGGAAUAUUGGACAAUGGGCGCAAGCCUGAUCCAGCCAUACCGCGUGGGUGAAGAAGGCCUUCGGGUUGUAAAGCCCUUUUGUUGGGAAAGAAAAGCAGCAGGUUAAUACCCCGCUGUUCUGACGGUACCCAAAGAAUAAGCACCGGCUAACUUCGUG